AUUCUCUUGCUUCAGCCUCCCGAAUAGCUCGGACUAUAGGCGCCCGCCACCGCUCCCAGCCAAUUUUUUUGUGUUUUUAGCAGAAACGGGGUUUCACCGUGUUAGCCAGGAUGGUCUCGAUCGCCUGACCUCGUGAUCCGCCCGCCUCGGCCUCCCAAAGUGCUGGAAUUACAGGCGUGAGCCACUGCGCCCGGCCGAGAAACCUAUUUUUGAUGUUUAUAUUUGGAUACUUGCUCUUGGAGCCCACCUGCCCUGCUGGGAGGUGCUGGGAACACCUGGAGAGCCAUGUGCAGCUGUGUGGCCAGCAAUCCCAGCUUUGUUCCCAGCCAGCUGCCAGACCUGGGAGUGAGGAAGCCUUCCAGAAGACCCCAGCCUAGUCCCCAUCUGACAGCGACCUCAUGAGAUAUCCUGAGUGAGAUCUACCCAGCCGAGCCCAAUAAACCCAUGAAAACAUCAGAGGUUUUUCUCCUCUUCCUUUCUCUCCUCCUCCUCCUCAUGAAAAUUGCUGCAGUUUUAUGCUACUAAGUUUGGGCUGAUUUAUUACACAGCAAUAGAAAACUGAAACAUCAAUCAAUGGCACGUUGUUAGAAAUUAUCAAAGGCAGUGGGCACGGCUUGUCAUGCCUGUAAUCCUAGCACUUUGGGAGGUAGAGGUCGGCUGAUUGCUUGAGGCCAGGAGUUCAAGACCAGCCUGGGCAACAUGGUAAAACCUUGUCUCUAUAAAAAUUAGCUGGGCUUGGUGGCAUGCAUGGGUAGGCCCAGCUACUUGGGAGUCUGAGAUGAGGGAUCGAUUGAGUCCAAGAGGUCAAGGCUGCAGUGAGCCGUGAUCGCACCACUGCACUCCAGCCUGGGCUACA
rnacentral:lncRNA from 1 species